rnacentral:rRNA from 1 species
UACGAAGGGGGCUAGCGUUGCCCGGAAUCACUGGGCGUAAAGGGUGCGUAGGCGGGGUUUUAAGUCAGGGGUGAAAUCCUGGAGCUCAACUCCAGAACUGCCUUUGAUACUGAAGAUCUUGAGUUCGGGAGAGGUGAGUGGAACUGCGAGUGUAGAGGUGAAAUUCGUAGAUAUUCGGAAGAACACCAGUGGCGAAGGCGGCUCACUGGCCCGAUACUGACGCUGAGGCACGAAAGCGUGGGGAGCAAACAGG